rnacentral:rRNA from 1 species
AUGCUUUUCUUAUUUGAACCUUCUUUUCUUUUUCUAUUUUUUAAAGAAUAUACUGCAUCAUUUUUUUUGGUGAAACUACUUCACAAAGACAAAAAGAAAAGGAGAAGCAAAUGCAGACAUCGGAUUUUUUCAAACGUGUCUACAGGAGAGGGGGGUGGGCGAAGAAAGUGCAAUGCAAAUGAAAUUACGAAACACCUCAAGCAAUAUAGAAGAAAUAAUAUGUGCAAAGUACUAUAUCCAGGACAAAUGCCUAGAGCCUGCAAAAGCUCUGCACCAGGAGCUGGGACGCCAUCAUCCCAUGUGACAGUUUGCAAUGCUAAAUCAGCCUCCUGGAAAUCUCUCUGCAUGUUGUCCAGUCACCGGAACGCAAUUGUUACUCACAACAGCAAGAGGAUGUGUCGAUGUUCCAAACUGAUGGCCCGGAUAGGCCAAUGA